AAGUCUGACGGAAAAAGCAGCUUUUUAUCAUGAAAUAUCAGAAUCAGCUCCAACAUCUGCAUCUGACGGCAUCAAGUCAACCAGAACGAAAAGAAAAAAGAAAAUGACUUCUUUCUGAUCACAUCUGUUCCACUGCUCACAGUCUGCUGCUGCUCACAUUCUUGACAUUUAUAGUCCACUUUUAAAAGUUCACCAGACAGGUGCUCUGCUUUGGAGUGUGACGAUGUCGUCGGUGAUGUGGAGAGUGAAGUUUCCGUUUCACCCACAGCGUGCUUUAGGGCAGCCGGAGUGAAAGUAGCAGUUCCUCCUUAAGGUCAGAGAUUGCAGCAUCUGAGGGCCUCUUCAAAAGAAGACGUAGUUGAUGAAGGCGUUCUGGAGCAGGACCAGAAAGACCACGACCAAGCAGCCUUGAGAUCUUAGGCAGCGUCUCCCUCAGGUCCCUCUCUAUCUCCCCACACAUCCACCAACCACUGGAACACAUCUCCAGAGUUCUGCCGGGCCAGCUCAGCUUCCCCUCAGAAGAAGUGCCGCCACCUGCCAGAUGAAGGAGCCUUUUGAGAGGCAGCUGGCAUCGUGAUUGGACUGUACUUUGGUCUGUUCCAAUCCAGCUUCAGCUCCAGAGACGGCAGGCAGGACGAGUCAGCGGAGGCCGGGUGGACGAAGGCAUGCAGCUGAGUGGAAACAAAAAUGUGAUUUUUCAACAUGUUGUAAAAACGUGCCAUAUGAUGAAAUAAUGUAAAGGAGGGCAAGAAAAACAUUAUGGUAAGCUUUUCUUUGAAAAAAG
ensembl:lncRNA